rnacentral:rRNA from 1 species
AGAGUUUGAUCAUGGCUCAGAUUGAACGCUAGCGGGAUGCUUUACACAUGCAAGUCGAACGGCAGCGCGGACUUCGGUCUGGCGGCGAGUGGCGAACGGGUGAGUAAUGUAUCGGAACGUGCCCAGUAGCGGGGGAUAACUACGCGAAAGCGUAGCUAAUACCGCAUACGCCCUACGGGGGAAAGGGGGGGAUCGCAAGACCUCUCACUAUUGGAGCGGCCGAUAUCGGAUUAGCUAGUUGGUGGGGUAAAGGCCUACCAAGGCGACGAUCCGUAGCUGGUUUGAGAGGACGACCAGCCACACUGGGACUGAGACACGGCCCAGACUCCUACGGGAGGCAGCA